rnacentral:lncRNA from 1 species
AUGCCUUGCUUUGAAAGCUGCAGCUUUGGAGUUUCCGAGAACCGAGAACCGUCCCUGGGGGAGCAGGUGGCAGGCUGUGAGGCUCCCGCGUCCCCGCUGAUUCCUGCACAGUUACGGAGGGAGAGUGUGCCAGAAAUGGCUUUGCUGCCGAAUGCAUUAUCUUGCCAUUUUCAUAGCCCCGUACCGCACAAACGAUCGCCUGAUCGAUCGGGAGGGAAAGGUAGAGUGGAAAUUGAUUUUUUGCAGAGACUGAGGCGCCGAAUGAUAGAGGGAAAUAAACAUUUUGCCUGGGAUAAAAAUGCUCUUGUUCUUGCACCAGAUACAUAUUCAAAGCCCCCAAAUAGGUAUUUGCCUAUUGCGGUGAUCCCCAUAAAUUCGUAAAGCCUUCUGGCUUUCCUGAGUCUAUAGCACCCCCAGCCUGCACAGGCUCCUUCUGUGAAGAAUGGUAAGUGGAGGGGUGGGAAGAAGCCACAGAACUCUGGAUUGUAUGUCACUGGGUGCGCAGAAUCACAAAUCGUACAGAUUGUGUGAAUUUGGCUUUUCGAAGUGUAAGCUGACCAUUUUGGACGUGAACAAUGAACGGAGAUUUGCACUUUGGAGGUAUAUGUUACCCGUGAAAUAUUCAUACUAAUUCUUCCCUCUAUCGUUGUCAUUUGUUUCCACUAUAAACUUCUUCUCCCCCAGUCAUCACGAUAACAGGUAAGCUAAUGGUCCCAAAAUGUAUUACUCAUACAGACAGGAUGUCCUUGACCUCAUCUGAAAUGUCUGAUCUUAAAACUCCAUAGAUAGAAUGGUAAGAAGAGGCUUUAUUUCCGAUAAUCAACGUUCUACAAAUCACUAGCACGAGAUCCCAGAAGGAACACAGCCGAGUGGAAGACGAUAACGGUGAGGCCCAGUGUGCGUGUGAGCAAGUC